rnacentral:lncRNA from 1 species
CUUAUGCUAUACAUCUGCAGUGCAGCUUGUUUUAUUCACCAAAUACGAUUUUAAUGUGUACCAUCUUAUGAUGACGUCUUGGUGCUCGAGUUGGAGGUUUCCAUGUCCUAACUGCCACUGCAAGUGAGAUCAUCCUUGUCCUGUCCAAGGCUGAGGUCUUUUCUUCCUCCAUCAUUCAGACUAUGUGGACAUCCCGUCCACAAGAGUUGCCAAAGUCCGGCAG